CUUAGUGCUUGGCUUGGAGUUUGGCUUGGGUCCCCGUCCAUUGACAGCGGACUGCUGGCCGUCCUGUCUGGCAGCUAUUUUGCAGGGGGCUGUUU
rnacentral:lncRNA from 1 species